rnacentral:pre_miRNA from 1 species
AAGCCCUUACCCCCCUCUUUGCUAAAUAUUUGUUAAUCAGAGAGAAAGGAAGGGUUGC